GCAAUUUGAAUUUUUAGAAAUGGAUUUAUAUUACUCAAACGAUACAAAAAUGUAUGUACUAAAGUAUUAUUGAUAAUUGUAUAGCACGAGUCAUGUGAUGGAACGGGUUAUAAUUUACAUAAUUAUGAUUACAGAUAUUUUACGGGUUGUCUACUAUAAUAUAACUCACAAAAAUAUUUUAAUAUGAAAUUAUAUUAUGUAAACAAAUAAUUUUGUCAGUAUCAUUUCAUUAUUUU
rnacentral:lncRNA from 1 species